GGCUCGACUCUCUCGCGGCGGCGGCGGCCGUUCCCCGUCUCCGCCUCUCCCCGGCGCGCUCUGGCGGCCGUUGCCCCUCUCCCCGCCUGUGCCCGGCGCCCGCGCAGAGCCGUUACAUGAAGAAAGUACAUUGAAAAGGACAACCAAGCCUGUUGCUUGCUUCACAGCACAGUGAAGAAUAAAAUUAAUUUUAAUUACAGUUCUGCUGAGCAGCAUCCCUGAACUGCUUACAGCCACAAAGCAUAAACUGCCCGAGCUGACUGCCCCUUAUCUGUGUGUGCAGAAGCCGAUGGUGCUAUGAUGAAGAGCUUUACCAAACAACUAAGAAACUGUCAUGCAGAUUAUAAUUGUCUUCUAUGCAUCACUCAGAUUUGCCACAGAGCACUCUUGAGUGGUGGUUAUAGACUGUACAAUUUCUUGCAUUUUUAUGUAUGUACAGCAAACAUAUGUAUUCUAUUUUUAAACAUUAAAUGACUAAUUUGAAGGUAGCUUGUGUUGGGUUUAUAAGUUCCUAGUGGCUGCUCAGUUCUCUUCUGGGGACACCAAUGGACUUGACCCUGACUCAGCACAGCUCUCCUCAUUCACAGGCAUCACAGGAGCACUGUCACUGUUCCCACCGAAUCUUCAGGAGUUGAGAAGAGAGUGGGAAGUGGGUCGGACCUUACCCUUCCAUCCCAGACUGCCAACAGUUCUUUGCUGGUCCCAGGACUAGGGAGGUGAAGAAAAGUCUCACAAACUUGUUUUAUCCUCUUAUUUGAUUCUGUUUGCCAGUUACACCUGGGCUGGACCUGUGAAUCACUCCAGAUCCCUGCAGUCAUUUGUCAAAGCAGCUAUCAUAAUGCCACAGUAGAAUAUUUUCUUAUGUUGUCAUUGUGAAGCGGUAAUUCUAGAAUUACAGCAAUUCUUGUCAUAUUAUUGUUAUUUUUUUCCCCAAAGAAAAAUUACUGUGACUGUCUUGGGGGAUGUGCCAAGCUGGAAUUGUGGAAGCACAGAAAUAAGGCUUGAGGUUUCUGCUUAGUAAUUAAAACAGAUAUUUAGUCUGAAUAGAAUUCACAAGAUCAGAAUUGCAAUGAUCCAAAUGUUAGAAAUAGCAUUUCCUACUUUAACAAUCUGUGAUUCAAAUAAAAGGUGACAUAGUUCAAACAGAUAACACCAUGGAGAGUGAAAAAGGAAUUUAUUUUUGUGGGAAUGAGCGUAAGGGAGGGGGCAGAAAUGGAAGGUACACUGGUCCAUUCAAAAAUUCACAAAUGUAAGGUAAAUUACAAAUUCAGGAGGGUAGUGGUUAAAAGUGCUCUCUUUAUCCAGAAAACGCUUGAAGCCCAUCCCUAUUUGUGACAGUUCCCAAGCCGAUUCUUACUUUCACAAAUAAGCUUAAGAACCUAAUUAACUCAGCUCUUCUUAGUUUUCCCUUCUUAAUGGCUUACACUAUGAUACUUGAGGAAAACAGAUGAGAAAGAUGCGAAGUCAGGAAAGAAAAAAAAAAAGGAUAAGGAAUGUUAUGGAAAAGCAAAAAGAAGACAAAGAUAUUCCAAGUGGUUUACAAGUAAUUCAGUAGCUGAGGGAGGUGUCCACAAAGGAGAGGGCAGUGCCGAAAGGGAACUGAAACUUAAGUGCCCAAGAGAAAUGAAAGUGAAACUCCAGACUUUGAAUGGAAUGAGAACAAGGAAGGGAAGUGCUUAAACACUGACAAGUUAGUACAAUGGGAAAAGCUACUAUAAAAUUAUCUUGCCGAGUGCAAGUGCCCUGGAGGUUUUCUAACCUGGUUUUCUUUUAAAAAAUGAAUAGCUUGCAUAGGUCUUUAAUGACUUGCGCCCAGAGUCAUGCUGACUUAGGGUGAGCAACUGUACAGAGCCUUAGAGGGAAAAAUAUGUGUGUAAUCUGUCGGAGCUGAAAGCCAGAAGAACUCUGAGGCAACACAGAGCAGGCAGAGGAACUGCAGGACAGUGCUGCUGGUUCAGGAGCAACCACUUUUCUAGGAAGUGACUUUCUUUAGAGUACAGCAGGGAUCUGGUCUGACACCCCAGGACAAAGGGCAAGAAGCCGUGUCCAAGUGAGCCAUGGUUGCCAAUACUGGAUUUGCAGCAAAAGGAUCAGUGACUUCUCUGAGUCUUCCCCAUUGCUGCUCUCUUUUCAUCUGUACAUCAUAACCCCAGUUUACCAAAGCCUUGGAGGUUCCUGAGUUCACAGAGGCUUCAUUGCCAGUCUAGAAAUGUCCUUACAGACAUCUCCUUUUGUGAGCCUUCUGGCUCAGCUUUUCCACCUGGCUGUGACCACCAUUGCUUGGAUGCAUGAGCUGUGCAGAGCACCAGAAGACACAAGCCCUGGAGGGGCGAUUUCCUGUACUUUGUGUGCCAUCACACGGAGUAGAUGCAGCCACAGUGUGUCUUUUGAGUGACACCUCCCUCCUCACUAAAUUCUACCAAAGAGGUCAUUGACAUUGCAGGAUUUUGUUCAGCAGGCCUAAAACUUUCCUAGCAAUGCUUUUAGAUGGGAGGAAAACCAUUAAGAAAAAUAAAACUAAAACACUGGGACACUGAACUGAGUGCCGAAGCCAAGGGAAGAACCAACAAAGCAACCUUCAGCUCUAUCAACAUAAAUUUAUUUUUGGUUUUUUUUUUUUUUUUUUUUUUUUUUUUUUUAAUAUUGACUUCUCUUUCAGCAACAUAUAAAAUUAGUUUCACAGUCUCUGUUUAUUUAUUGCUACUUAAGGAUCUGCUAAAAUUGUUUUGUAAGAACAGGAAUGAAGUUAAUCUGUGGUCCAUGUAAAAAUCAGAUAGGGACAGUAGGAUAUGUAGAUAUAUAUUUCAUGUCAAGUAGUAUAUAUGUAUUUCAUAUAUAUCAGGAUAUUUUUUUCAUGUUGAUACUGUUCCCCAGGUACUAUCUCUGCUACUAAGUAUUCUCAUUUUUAACAAAGGCUGUAACAAAUCCUCAGUGAGGAUCUUUGCACAGAUGCCUAUACUAUGGGGUUGAAGACACAUAAAUAAGGCCACAAAUCUUCCUAUCCUCCUUUCCUCUUUUAUUUCCUUUCUUCCCUUUCCCCCCUUUAUUCCCUUUCUUCUCCUUUCCCAGACUGUACGAUAAUCAAUUGCUUUCUUUAUACAAAGUUUGCAGAUGUGUUUAAUCCACUGUCAGUAAUAUUGUCAGGUCUCCCAGCCAGACUCCCAAGGUGUAAGGAAAUAAUUUCAGGCAAUGUCAGACAAGUGUCACACAAAAGAAAACAACCUGGAAGAAAAGAUAAGUUCCUUGAUAAAGCUCUGGAAUGAUUUUGCUGACUCAUGAUUUGUCCUUUAUCUCAUGACAGCUGGCAUUUUUUGUGUAACUUACCUUUCGUUAAAUACGAGGCAGUUACCUUUUAGCCCUAGGCUCUGGAAGAAAAAGCCUUGAGAUUGUGACAACUCGAAAGUCACUAAAAAUAAAGCCUGUCAAAUUGA